rnacentral:rRNA from 1 species
UGGCGGACGGGUGAGUAACGCGUGGGUAACCUGCCUCAUACAGGGGGAUAACAGUUAGAAAUGACUGCUAAUACCGCAUAAGACCACAGUACCGCAUGGUACAGGGGUAAAAACUCCGGUGGUAUGAGAUGGACCCGUGUCUGAUUAGGUAGUUGGUGGGGUAACGGCCUACCAAGCCGACGAUCAGUAGCCGACCUGAGAGGGUGACCGGCCACAUUGGGACUGAGACACGGCCCAA